AUGGCAGCGGCGGCGAUGGCAGCGCACAGGGCCAGCUUCCCGCUGCGGCUGCAGCAGAUCCUGUCUGGNNNNNNNNNNNNNNNNNNNNNNNNNNNNNNNNNNNNNNNNNNNCCAGCAAAAGUUAAAGCAUUUAUUGAUCGUGUAAUCAAUAUUCCACUACAUGACAUUGCCAUACCACUAUCAGGCUUCCAUUGGGAGUUCAAUAAGGGAAAUUUUCACCAUUGGAAGCCUCUGUUUAUGCAUUUUGAUACGUAUUUCAAGACAUACAUCUCUUCUAGAAAGGAUCUUCUCUUGUCUGAUGAUAUGUCUGAGAGUGAACCGUUGACAAAAAAUACCAUCUUACAAAUUUUGAGAGUUAUGCAAAUUGUGUUGGAAAAUUGCCAGAACAAAACAACUUUUGCUGGUCUUGAGCAUUUUAAGAAUCUGUUGACAUCAUCAGAUCCUGAGGUAGUUGUUGCGGCUUUGGAAACUCUUGCUUCAGUGGUGAAAAUAAAUCCUUCAAAACUACAUAUGAAUGGGAAACUGAUCAGCUGUGGAGCUAUAAAUAGCCAUCUUCUAUCAUUGGCCCAAGGAUGGGGUAGCAAGGAGGAAGGUCUAGGCUUGUAUUCCUGUGUUGUGGCAAAUGAGCGAAAUCAGCUGGAGGGGUUGUGCUUAUUCCCAGCAGACAUGGAGAACAAAUAUGAUGGCACACAGCAUCGUCUUGGGUCCACUCUUCAUUUUGAGUAUAAUUUGGCACCUGUCCAAGAUUCUGACCAAGCCAAUGACAAGUCAUCUAAUCUCUGUGUGAUACAUAUGCCAGACCUGCACCUUCGGAAGGAGGAUGACUUGAGCAUAUUGAAGCAAUGUAUCAACAAGUUUAAUGUGCCUCCAGAGCACCGGUUUGCCUUGUUUACAAGGAUAAGAUAUGCACAUGCUUUUAAUUCUCCGAGGACAUGCAGGCUAUAUAGCCGCAUAAGUCUCCUUUCUUUCAUUGUUCUCGUGCAAUCCAGUGAUGCCCAUGAUGAACUGACAUCGUUCUUCACAAAUGAGCCGGAGUACAUAAAUGAGUUAAUCCGGCUUGUUCGUUCAGAAGAUAUUGUUCCUGGGCCCAUUCGUGCACUGGCUAUGCUUGCACUGGGAGCACAGCUAGCAGCAUAUGCAUCAUCUCAUGAGCGAGCUAGGAUACUGAGCGGUUCAAGUAUCAUCUCUGCUGGUGGAAACCGCAUGGUCUUGCUCAGUGUUCUGCAGAAAGCAAUAUCAUCCCUCAGUAGCCCUAAUGAUACUUCAUCUCCUUUAAUUGUUGAUGCCCUUCUGCAGUUCUUUUUGCUUCAUGUGCUGUCAUCUUCGAGUUCUGGGACCACCGUUAGGGGUUCAGGGAUGGUUCCACCUCUUCUGCCUCUCCUGCAAGAUAAGGAUCCUUCCCACAUGCAUCUUGUCUGUUUGGCAGUAAAGACCCUUCAGAAGCUGAUGGAGUACAGCAGCCCUGCUGUUUCCCUGUUUAAAGAUUUGGGUGGUGUAGAACUUUUGUCUCAGAGGUUACAUGUGGAGGUGCAGCGUGUUAUUGGUGUUGCUGAAAUUACUUCAGUGGUUGCUAGUGAUACAUCGAAAUCAGAAGAUGACCAUCUGUACUCACAGAAGCGACUGAUUAAGGCUUUGCUCAAGGCAUUAGGUUCCGCUACAUAUUCUCCUGCGAAUCCUGCUCGCUCUCAAAGUUCCAAUGAUAACUCUUUGCCCAUGUCACUUUCCCUUAUAUUCCAGAAUGUUGGAAAGUUUGGUGGUGAUAUAUACUUCUCUUCAGUUACUGUUAUGAGUGAGAUAAUACAUAAGGAUCCUACAUGCUUUCCUGCUUUGAAGGAACUUGGUCUUCCUGAUGCUUUCCUGUCAUCAGUGACUGCUGGGGUGAUACCAUCUUGUAAAGCUCUUAUAUGUGUACCCAAUGGCCUGGGCGCAAUCUGCCUUAAUAACCAAGGACUUGAGUCUGUCAGGGAAACUUCAGCGCUGCGUUUUCUUGUAGAGACGUUCACUAGUAAGAAAUAUCUGAUACCAAUGAAUGAAGGUGUUGUUCUUUUAGCAAAUGCAGUGGAAGAGCUUAUUCGUCAUGUGCAGUCCCUUAGAAGUACUGGUGUUGACAUCAUCAUUGAAAUAAUCAACAAACUUUCUUGUCCUCGUGGUGAUAAAAUCACUGAAGCAGCCAGCGCUGAAGAAAAAACAGAUAUGGAAACAGAUGUUGAAGGGCGUGAUUUAGUAAGUGCCAUGGAUUCUGGCACAGAUGGAACUAAUGAUGAGCAGUUUUCUCAUUUGAGCAUUUUCCAUGUUAUGGUAUUGGUGCACAGGACAAUGGAAAAUUCAGAAACUUGCAGGCUGUUUGUAGAAAAGGGAGGUCUACAGACUCUGUUGACACUCUUGCUGCGACCUACCAUCACCCAAUCUUCUGGUGGGAUGCCUAUUGCUUUGCACAGCACUAUGGUAUUUAAGGGCUUUACUCAACAGCAUUCUACUCCACUUGCGCGUGCAUUCUGCUCCUCUUUAAAGGAGCACUUGAAGAAUGCCCUACAGGAACUUGAUACAGUUUUUAGGUCAUGUGAAGUGACUAAGAUGGAAAAAGGAGCCAUUCCAUCACUUUUUAUUGUUGAAUUUCUGCUCUUCCUAGCGGCAUCAAAAGACAACCGCUGGAUGAACGCUCUACUCUCAGAAUUUGGUGAUGUCAGCAGGGAUGUCCUGGAAGAUAUUGGAAGAGUUCACCGGGAAGUGCUUUGGCAAAUUUCACUUUUUGAUGAGAAGAAAAUAGAGCCUGAAGCUAGUUCUCCUUCAGCAAAUGAGGCCCAGCAAGUUGAUGCUGCUGUGGGCGACACUGAUGAUAACAGAUACACCUCCUUUAGGCAAUAUCUUGAUCCUCUUUUAAGGCGACGGGGCUCUGGGUGGAACAUUGAGUCUCAGGUGUCUGACCUUAUCAAUAUCUAUCGUGAUAUGGGCCGUGCAGCUACUGACUCUCACAGAGUUGGUGCUGAUAGAUACCCUAGUACAGGGUUGCCCUCAAGUUCCCAGGAUCAGCCAUCCAGUUCAUCUGAUGCAAAUGCGAAGUCAGAAGAGGACAAGAAAAGGUCUGAGCAUUCAUCCUGCUGUGACAUGAUGAGGUCACUUUCUUACCAUAUUAACCAUCUGUUUAUGGAGCUUGGGAAAGCAAUGCUGCUUACAUCUCGCCGUGAGAACAGUCCUAUAAAUCUACCUCCAUCUGUUGUGUCUGUUGCUAGCAAUAUUGCUUCUAUCGUGUUGGAGCACCUCAAUUUUGAGGGGCAUACAAUCAGUCCAGAGAGGGAGAUUACUGUUGCUACAAAGUGCCGAUACCUUGGAAAGGUUGUUGAGUUUAUUGAUGGGAUAUUGUUGGACAGACCAGAAUCAUGUAAUCCAAUCAUGGUGAAUUCUUUUUAUUGCCGUGGUGUAAUUCAGGCUAUCUUAACCACAUUUGAAGCUACCAGUGAGUUGCUUUUUGCAAUGAACAGGCCACCCUCGUCACCUAUGGAGACUGAUAGUAAAACUGGGAUGGAAGAGAAGGAUACUGAUUGUUCAUGGAUUUAUGGCCCCCUUUCCAGCUAUGGUGCAGCUAUGGACCAUCUCGUAACAUCAUCAUUUGUUCUUUCUUCAUCGACAAGACAACUACUUGAGCAACCUAUUUUUAGUGGAACUGUCAGGUUUCCACAAGAUGCAGAGAGAUUCAUGAAGUUGCUUCAAUCUAAAGUCUUAAAGACUGUUCUUCCCAUAUGGGCCCAUCCACAGUUUCCAGAAUGCAAUCUUGAGCUAAUCAGUUCAGUCACAUCGAUCAUGAGGCAUGUUUACUCUGGGGUAGAAGUAAAAAACAAUGUUAGCAACAUGGCUGCUCGUUUGGCUGGUCCACCCCCUGACGAGAAUGCAAUUUCCUUGAUUAUAGAGAUGGGCUUUUCUCGUGCCAGAGCUGAAGAAGCAUUAAGACAGGUUGGAACAAAUAGCGUUGAGAUCGCGACUGACUGGUUGUUCUCACACCCGGAGGAACCACCAGAGGAUGAUGAACUUGCUCGAGCUCUUGCUAUGUCUCUAGGGAAUUCUGAUACACCUGUUCAAGAGGAAGAUGACAGAACUAAUGAUCUUGAGCUCGAGGAAGUAAAUGUUCAGCUCCCUCCCAUGGAUGAAGUAUUAUCUUCAUGUCUUAGGCUGCUACAGGCAAAGGAAACAUUAGCUUUUCCUGUCCGGGAUAUGCUUGUGACUAUCAGCUCACAGAAUGACGGCCAAAACCGUGUGAAGGUGCUUACAUAUUUGAUUGAUCAUCUGAAGCAGUGUCUUGUGGCAUCUGAUCCUUUAAAGAACACUGCACUAUCUGCUUUUUUCCAUGUUCUUGCUUUGAUUCUCCAUGGAGAUACCGCUGCCCGUGAAGUUGCCUCAAAGGCUGGUCUUGUCAAGGUUGUUUUGAAUCUGCUGUGCAGCUGGGAGUUGGAGCCAAGGGAAGGUCAAACAACCAAGGUUCCCAAUUGGGUUACUUCCUGUUUCCUUUCUGUUGAUAGAAUGCUCCAGUUGGAACCCAAGUUGCCAGAUGUUACUGAGCUUGAUGUUCUCAAAAAGGAUAAUUCACCUACACAAACAUCUGUUGUGAUUGAUGACAGCAAGAAGAAGGAUUCAGAAUCUUCCUCAAGUGUAGGGUUACUGGACUUGGAGGACCAGGAUCAACUUUUGAGGGUAUGCUGUAAGUGCAUUCAGAAGCAGUUGCCUUCCGGUACAAUGCAUGCUAUUCUUCAGUUGUGUGCUACACUGACGAAAGUCCAUGUGGCUGCUAUCAGUUUUCUCGAGUCUGGUGGCCUACAUGCGUUGCUAAGUUUGCCGACAAGUAGCUUAUUUUCUGGAUUCAACAGUGUGGUUUCUACAAUUAUCCGUCAUAUUUUGGAGGAUCCCCAUACUCUUCAGCAAGCUAUGGAAUUGGAGAUACGCCAUAGUCUUGUCACGGCUGCUAAUCGGCAUGCAAAUCCUAGGGUUACACCACGUAAUUUUGUUCAAAAUUUGGCGUUUGUUGUAUACAGGGACCCAGUGAUAUUUAUGAAAGCUGCCCAAGCUGUGUGCCAGAUUGAGAUGGUUGGAGAUAGACCGUAUGUUGUUCUAUUGAAGGACCGUGAGAAGGAAAAGAGCAAGGAAAAAGAGAAGGAUAAGCUGGUUGAUAAGGAUAAAUCAUCAGGUGUUGCCACAAAGAUAACAUCAGGGGACAUGGUUAUGGCAUCCCCUGUAAGUGCCAAAGGGAAACAAUCUGAUUUCAGUGCAAGGAAUAUGAAAUCUCAUCGCAAGCCACCACAAACCUUUGUCACUGUUAUUGAGCAUCUAUUAGAUCUAGUCAUGUCCUUUGUCCCACCACAAAGAGCUGAGGACCAAUCUGAUGGUUCGUCAUCCAUGGACAUGGAUAUUGACUCUAGUUCAGCAAAAGGUAAAGGGAAGGCUGUUGCUGUCACACAUGAAGAGUCCAAGCAAGCAAUCCAAGAUGCUACUGCAUGUCUGGCUAAAAACGCAUUUGUCCUAAAGCUGCUCACAGAUGUACUAUUAACUUAUGCUUCUUCGGUUCAAGUUGUUCUUCGCCACGAUGCUGAGUUCAGCAGCACGCGAGGUCCUACUCGGACCAGUGGUGGAAUAUUUAAUCAUAUAUUGCAGCAUUUGCUUCCACAUGCUACAAAGCAAAAGAAAGAAAGGAAGCCUGAUGGUGAUUGGAGGUACAAAUUGGCAACAAGGGGUAAUCAAUUUUUAGUGGCUUCAUCUAUUCGUUCUUCAGAAGGACGAAAAAGGAUCUGUUCUGAAAUCUGCAGUAUAUUUGUUGAGUUCACAGACAAUUCUACUGGUUGCAAACCUCCAAUGUUGAGAAUGAAUGCUUAUGUUGAUUUGCUCAAUGAUAUUCUGUCAGCUCGCUCACCAACGGGCUCCUCACUUUCAGCAGAAUCUGUAGUUACAUUUGUUGAGGUUGGCCUUGUCCAGUGUUUAACGAAAACCCUUCAGGUUCUUGAUUUGGAUCAUUCUGAUUCAGCAAAGAUUGUAACUGGUAUUGUCAAGGCUCUUGAAGUGGUUACUAAGGAGCACGUUCAUUUAGCAGAUUUUAAUGCUAAAGGAGAGAACUCAUCAAAGACUGUUUUGGAGCAGAACAAUGUAGAUUCAUCAUCAAAUAGGUUCCAGGUUCUUGACACAACUUCUCAACCAACUGCAAUGGUAACUGAUCACAGGGAAACUUUCAAUGCUGUUCAUGCUUCAAGAAGUUCAGAUUCAGUGGCAGAUGAGAUGGAUCAUGACCGUGAUAUAGAUGGAGGUUUUGCCCAUGAUGGUGAAGAUGAUUUUAUGCAUGAGAUUGCUGAAGACAGAACAGGAAAUGAGUCCACAAUGGAUAUUCGGUUUGAUAUACCACGUAAUAGAGAGGAUGAUAUGGCUGAAGAUGAAGAUGACAGUGAUGAAGAUAUGUCAGCCGAUGAUGGUGAGGAGGUUGAUGAAGAUGAUGAUGAUGAGGAAAAUAACAACCUGGAGGAAGACGAUGCCCAUCAGAUAUCUCAUGCUGACACGGAUCAGGAUGACCGUGAGAUUGAUGAAGAAGAAUUUGAUGAAGAUCUGCUAGAAGAAGAAGAUGAUGAUGAGGAGGAUGAGGAGGGUGUAAUCCUUCGCCUAGAGGAGGGGAUCAAUGGAAUUAAUGUGUUUGACCAUAUUGAGGUUUUUGGGGGGAGCAACAAUGUUUCUGGGGAUACACUGCGUGUAAUGCCAUUGGACAUUUUUGGCACAAGACGGCAAGGCCGUAGUACAUCUAUAUACAAUCUGCUUGGGAGAGCAAGUGACCAAGGUGUACUUGACCACCCACUCUUGGAGGAACCUUCGAUGUUACUUCCACAACAGAGGCAACCAGAAAAUUUAGUUGAGAUGGCUUUCUCUGAUCGGAAUCAGGAAAAUAGUUCUUCCCGUUUGGACGCUAUAUUCAGAAGCUUGCGAAGUGGACGGAAUGGACACCGAUUUAAUAUGUGGCUGGAUGAUGGCCCCCAACGCAAUGGAUCUGCUGCCCCUACAGUACCUGAAGGCAUUGAAGAACUUCUGCUCUCUCAGUUGAGAAGGCCUAUGGCUGAACAUCCUGAUGAGCAGAGCACACCUGCUGUUGAUGCUCAAGUAAACGAUCCUCCCAGUAAUUUCCAUGGGCCAGAAACUGAUGCAAGGGAAGGAUCAGCAGAACAAAAUGAAAACAACGAAAACGAUGAUAUUCCUGCAGUAAGGUCUGAGGUGGAUGGCUCUGCAAGUGCUGGUCCUGCAGCUCCUCACAGUGAUGAACUUCAAAGAGAUGCAUCCAAUGCAAGUGAGCAUGUCGCAGAUAUGCAAUAUGAACGUAGUGACACAGCUGUCCGUGAUGUGGAAGCAGUAAGCCAAGCAAGCAGUGGUAGUGGUGCUACUCUAGGUGAAAGCCUCAGAAGUUUAGAUGUGGAAAUUGGAAGUGUUGAAGGACAUGAUGAUGGUGACCGGCAUGGCGCUUCAGACAGGACACCUCUGGGUGAUGUACAGGCAGCUACUCGAUCGCGGAGGCCUUCUGGAAAUGCAGUACCAGUCAGCAGCAGGGACAUAUCAUUGGAGAGUGUUAGGGAGAUCCCCCAAAACACAGUCCAGGAAUCCGAUCAGAAUGCCAGUGAGGGGGAUCAGGAGCCUAACAGGGCUACUGGGACUGACUCAAUAGAUCCUACAUUUUUGGAGGCUCUUCCAGAGGAUUUACGGGCUGAAGUUCUUUCUUCACGUCAAAAUCAAGUGACUCAGACUUCCAGUGAGCAGCCUCAGCAUGAUGCGGACAUUGAUCCUGAAUUCCUUGCUGCACUGCCACCUGAUAUACGUGAAGAGGUUCUAGCUCAACAACGUGCCCAACGGUUGCAACAACAGUCUCAAGAGCUUGAAGGACAACCAGUUGAAAUGGACGCUGUAUCAAUUAUUGCAACCUUCCCUUCGGAAAUACGGGAGGAGGUGCUUUUGACGUCUCCUGAUACUCUACUUGCUACAUUGACACCUGCACUAGUUGCUGAAGCCAACAUGUUGCGUGAGAGAUUUGCUCAUCGAUAUCACAGCGGUUCACUAUUUGGCAUGAACUCCAGGAACAGGAGGGGAGAGUCCUCUCGUCGUGGUGAUAUCAUUGGUUCAGGCCUUGAAAGAAAUACUGGUGAUUCGUCCCGUCAAACGGCCAGCAAGUUAAUUGAAACUGUAGGGACUCCUCUUGUUGACAAGGAUGCUCUCAAUGCUCUUAUACGAUUACUUCGAGUUGUCCAGCCUAUAUACAAGGGCCAGCUGCAGAGGCUUCUCUUGAACCUUUGUGCUCACCGGGAAAGCAGAAAGUCGCUGGUUCAAAUUCUGGUGGACAUGCUUAUGCUUGAUCUGCAGGGCUCUUCUAAGAAAUCAAUUGAUGCAACAGAGCCGUCAUUUAGGCUAUAUGGGUGCCAUGCAAAUAUCACAUAUUCACGCCCUCAAUCCUCAGAUGGUGUGCCACCACUGGUUUCCCGCCGUGUGCUGGAAACUCUGACAUACCUGGCAAGAAAUCAUCCAAAUGUGGCUAAGCUCUUACUCUUUCUUCGGUUCCCCUGCCCGCCCACCUGCCAUACUGAAACACUUGACCAGAGGCAUGGAAAGGCUGUCCUUGUGGAAGACGGGGAACAACAGAGUGCUUUUGCACUCGUUCUACUUUUGACUCUAUUAAAUCAGCCUCUUUAUAUGAGAAGUGUAGCUCAUCUUGAACAGUUACUCAAUCUUCUGGAAGUUGUCAUGCUUAAUGCUGAGAAUGAAGUAAAUCAAGCUAAGUUGGAAAGUUCAUCUGAGAGACCGUCUGGACCUGAGAAUGCAAUACAAGAUGCCCAAGAGGAUGCCAGUGUUGCUGGAUCAUCUGGAGCGAAGCCCAAUGCAGAUGAUAGUGGUAAAUCAUCCGCAGAUAAUAUAAGUGACCUGCAAGCUGUUUUGCAUAGCCUUCCGCAAGCCGAGCUUCGGUUGCUAUGUUCAUUGCUUGCGCAUGAUGGGUUAUCAGACAAUGCAUAUCUCCUUGUAGCAGAAGUUCUGAAAAAGAUUGUAGCUUUGGCUCCUUUCAUCUGUUGCCAUUUCAUAAAUGAGCUUUCACGUUCGAUGCAAAAUUUGACUGUUUGUGCCAUGAAUGAGCUUCACUUGUAUGAAGAUUCUGAAAAGGCAAUUCUGAGCACAUCAUCAGCCAAUGGCAUGGCAGUUCUAAGAGUUGUGCAGGCCUUGAGUUCUCUUGUCACAUCUCUGCAAGAGAGAAAAGAUCCAGAGCUUCUUGCAGAGAAGGACCAUUCAGAUUCCCUGUCCCAGAUUUCUGAUAUUAACACAGCAUUGGAUGCAUUGUGGUUGGAGCUAAGCCACUGCAUAAGCAAAAUAGAGAGCUCUUCAGAAUAUACAUCAAAUUUGAGUCCAACUUCUGCAAAUGCAACUAGAGUAUCAACUGGUGUAGCACCUCCCUUGCCUGCUGGAACCCAGAAUAUAUUACCGUACAUAGAAUCCUUUUUUGUGACAUGCGAGAAGUUACGUCCAGGACAACCUGAUGCUGUUCAAGAGCCUUCAACAUCUGAUAUGGAGGAUGCUUCAACAUCUAGUAGUGGGCAAAAAUCAUCUGCAAGCCAUACCAGUCUUGAUGAGAAGCACACUGCUUUUGUUAAAUUCUCGGAGAAGCACAGAAGAUUGUUAAAUGCUUUUAUCCGACAAAACUCUGGGUUGCUAGAAAAAUCAUUCUCUCUGAUGUUGAAGGUCCCCCGCUUGAUUGAUUUUGACAACAAACGUGCAUAUUUCCGGUCUAAAAUUAAGCAUCAGCAUGACCAUCAUCACAGUCCUGUUAGAAUUUCUGUCCGACGGGCGUACAUUUUGGAAGACUCUUAUAAUCAGCUUAGGAUGCGCUCACCCCAGGACUUGAAGGGUCGACUCACGGUUCAUUUCCAAGGAGAAGAAGGCAUUGAUGCCGGUGGACUCACAAGAGAGUGGUAUCAGUUACUAUCACGAGUGAUUUUUGACAAGGGUGCCCUUCUAUUCACGACUGUUGGAAAUGACUUGACAUUUCAACCAAACCCUAACUCUGUGUAUCAGACUGAACACCUCUCAUAUUUCAAAUUUGUUGGACGAGUGGUUGGAAAAGCGCUCUUUGAUGCCCAACUUUUGGAUGUCCAUUUCACUAGAUCUUUCUACAAGCACAUACUUGGUGCCAAGGUUACUUACCAUGAUAUUGAAGCCAUUGAUCCUGCUUACUACAGAAACCUUAAGUGGAUGCUUGAGAAUGACAUAAGUGAUGUCCUGGACCUCACAUUUAGCAUGGAUGCAGAUGAAGAGAAGCUGAUAUUAUAUGAGAAAGCUGAGGUAACUGAUUGUGAGUUGAUUCCUGGAGGGCGUAACAUUAGGGUCACCGAGGAGAACAAGCAUGAAUAUGUGGAUAGGGUAGCAGAGCAUCGUUUAACCACUGCAAUUAGGCCUCAGAUUAAUGCUUUCAUGGAAGGAUUUAAUGAGCUCAUUCCUCGCGAGCUAAUAUCCAUUUUUAACGACAAAGAGUUUGAACUGCUAAUCAGUGGACUCCCUGAUAUUGACUUGGACGACCUAAAGGCAAAUACCGAGUAUUCUGGCUACAGCAUAGCUUCACCAGUUAUUCAAUGGUUCUGGGAAAUUGUACAAGGUUUCAGCAAGGAGGACAAAGCUCGAUUUCUCCAGUUCGUUACUGGCACUUCAAAGGUACCUUUGGAGGGUUUCAGUGCGCUCCAAGGAAUAUCUGGGCCACAAAGGUUCCAGAUACACAAGGCAUACGGCAGCACCAACCAUCUGCCCUCAGCUCAUACUUGCUUUAACCAACUGGACUUGCCUGAAUACACAUCCAAAGACCAGCUGCAGGAGAGGUUGCUAUUGGCUAUUCAUGAGGCAAAUGAAGGGUUUGGAUUUGGUUAA
rnacentral:rRNA from 1 species